GUCUAUUAUGAAGUUGUUAAUAGUCUGGCCUGCUCCCUGAUUAUAAAUUAAAGAGCCGCGGUAAUUUGACCGUGCAAAGGUAGCAUAAUCAUUAGUUUCUUAAUUGGGAACUUGUAUGAAAGGUUUGACAAAGAAAAAGCUGUCUUUAUUAUAAAAAUUGAAUUUAACUUUUAAGUGAAAAGGCUUGAAUGAUUUAGAGGGACGAUAAGACCCUAUAAAGCUUUAUAUAAAAAAUAAUUAAGAUUGAAUUUACAAUAAUAUUCUGAAUUAAUUAUAUAUUUUGUUGGGGUGAUAUUAAUAAAAUUAAUAUUAACUGUUAAAAGAAGAUACAUAAAUAAAAGGGUUAAAACUAUUAGUGAUCCUUAUUUAAAGAUUAAAAGAUUAAGUUACUUUAGGGAUAACAGCGUAAUUUUUCUCAAGAGCCCAUAUCGAAAGAAAAGAUUUCGACCUCGAUGUUGAAUUAAGAUAUCUGUGUAGAGUAGCCGUUACAUAAGAAGGUC
rnacentral:rRNA from 1 species